CCCUUCUCAGGGUCGCACCUGGAGAGUUUCCAGUACUCUACCAGUCUCUACUAUGGGAGGGAGAGUCAAGCUGAGGUCUGUCCAUGCCAUUCCUAGCUUAGCCAGUGGCUUGAGAGUGGAAGACAAUCUGCUACAAGU